AGAGUUCGAUCCUGGCUCAGAACGAACGCUGGCGGCGCGUCUUAAGCAUGCAAGUCGAGCGGGAAGAAGUAGCUUGCUAUUUCUGAGAGCGGCGGACUGGUGAGUAACACGUGGAUGACGCACCCUUCUGACGGGGACAGCCCGUGGAAACACGGAGUAAUACCGGAUGAGCCCUUGCUUGUUAGAGGAGUAAGGGGAAAGGAGCUAAGGCUUCGCAGGAGGAGCGGUCCGCGGCCCAUCAGCUAGACGGCGGGGUAAAGGCCCACCGUGGCAAUGACGGGUACCCGGCCUCAGAGGGCGACCGGGCACAUUGGGACUGAGAUACGGCCCAGACUCCUACGGGAGGCAGCAGCUAAGAAUAUUCCGCAAUGGACGAAAGUCUGACGGAGCGACGCCGCGUGGACGAAGAAGGCCGGAAGGUUGUAAAGUCCUUUUAUGCACGAGGAAGAAGAGUAGAAGGGAAUGUCUAUUUGGUGACUGUAGUGCAUGAAUAAGCACCGGCUAAUUACGUGCCAGCAGCCGCGGUAACACGUAAGGUGCUAGCGUUGUUCGGAAUCAUUGGGCGUAAAGGGCUUGUAGGCGGUUCGUCAAGCCCGGGGUGAAAGGCCACAGCUUAACUGUGGGACUGCCCCGGGAACUGGCGGGCUGGAGUUACCGAAGGGGCACCGGAAUUCCAGGUGUAGGGGUGAAAUCUGUAGAUAUCUGGAAGAACACCGAUGGCGAAGGCAGGUGCCUGGCGGAUAACUGACGCUGAGGAGCGAAGGUGCGGGGAGCGAACAGGAUUAGAUACCCUGGUAGUCCGCACAGUAAACGAUGCACGCUGGGCGUCCGGUCAUGAGACUGGGUGCCGAAGCAAACGCGAUAAGCGUGCCGCCUGGGGAGAAUGCCCGCAAGGGUGAAACUCAAAGGAAGUGACGGGGGCCCGCACAAGCGGUGGAGCAUGUGGUUUAAUUCGAUGGUACGCGAGGAACCUUACCUGGGUUUGACAUACAAGGGGAUCGUGUAGAGAUACAUGAGCACAGCAAUGUGACCUUGAACAGGUGCUGCAUGGCUGUCGUCAGCUCGUGCCGCGAGGUGUUGGGUUAAGUCCCGCACCGAGCGAAACCCCUACUGACUGUUACCAGAGCGGAAAGGCGGGAGCGCG
rnacentral:rRNA from 1 species